AAAAUGAUUAGUGUAUUUAUAUAUUGAGUUAAUGGUGAACCAUGUUAGGCAAAAUUUUUCCAUAUAAACUUAUGCAUUUACUAAAUUAUUAUGGAACGGUUGCAAGAAGUCAGAAAAAAGUAAUUACCCCAGUAAUUUUUAAUCUCUUAUUAUACUUGUUUAGAUGCCAAUAAGAAGUUAUUUUUUUUAAUAAAUAAGAGUUUGGAUUAAUUUUAAACAUAGUUAAUAUUUAUAUUUGAUAUUUUAUUUUUUAAUUAUUUCUUCAAUUAAUAAAACAAGAAAAAUAGGAGAAUAAUAAAAUAAAUAAGAAUAAGAAUUCUCUUCUCCCAUCAAAAAGAUAUCAUCUCAUAGUUAUCUAUAAUUGUUUGUCUCUAGCAUGACCACUUGAUUUAAUAUAGAGAAAAGUACUAUUGAAAGAAUUCCACUUUGGAUAGUAGGUACUGUAAAUGAUAUUCUUGUAAUCAGUUUACUAGAUAUUUUUUUUAUGGUUUAUAUUUUAGAUUGGGUUCAUCCCUAUAAAUAAUCGAGUAAAUUGAGUUGUAGAUAUAAAAAUAUAAGAACUUAAUGGACCUUUUUUUUUUUCUUUGUCUGAUUUGAUGGGGUCUUUUUAAUAAUCAUAAUACUUUAU
rnacentral:misc_RNA from 1 species